AUGAAUGAGCGGGCCUUGAUCCCACGAAAAAUUAAUUAACAGCUAAUUACCCAAACCAGCGGGCU
rnacentral:tRNA from 1 species